ACGGGGCGCAGCAGGCGCGAAACCUUUACACUGCACGCCAGUGCGAUAAGGGGAUCCCGAGUGCACAGGCAUAGAGCCUGUGCUUUUCUGAACCGUAGGGAGGUUCAGGAACAAGAGCUGGGCAAGACCGGUGCCAGCCGCCGCGGUAAUACCGGCAGCUCGAGUGAUGGCCGAUCUUAUUGGGCCUAAAGCGUCCGUAGCUGGCCUUGCAAGUCCGUCGGGAAAUCCACCCGCUCAACGGGUGGGCGUCCGGCGGAAACUGUGAGGCUUGGGACCGGGAGGCUUGAAGGGUACGUCCGGGGUAGGAGUGAAAUCCUGUAAUCCUGGACGGACCGCCGAUGGGGAAACCACUUCAAGAGAACGGAUCCGACAGUGAGGGACGAAAGGCUAGGGUCUCGAACCGGAUUAGAUACCCCCGUAGUCC
rnacentral:rRNA from 1 species